CCUGCCGGCGACCGGCGCACGGGUGAGUAACGCGUAUCCAACCUGCCCUUUACUAUGGGACAGCCCGUCGAAAGGCGGAUUAAUACCGUAUGUUGUCAUGUUGAUGCAUAUUUUCAUGACCAAAGGCUUCGGCCGGUAAAGGAUGGGGAUGCGUCUGAUUAGCUUGCCGGCGGGGUAACGGCCCACCGGGGCGACGAUCAGUAGGGGUUCUGAGAGGAAGGUCCCCCACAUUGGAACUGAGACACGGUCCAAACUCCUACGGGAGGCAGCAG
rnacentral:rRNA from 1 species